rnacentral:rRNA from 1 species
AUUGAACGCUGGCGGCAGGCCUAACACAUGCAAGUCGAACGGUAACAGGAAGCAGCUUGCUGCUUUGCUGACGAGUGGCGGACGGGUGAGUAAUGUCUGGGAAACUGCCUGAUGGAGGGGGAUAACCACUGGAAACGGUAGCUAAUACCGCAUAACGUCGCAAGACCAAAGAGGGGGACCUUCGGGCCUCUUGCCAUCGGAUGUGCCCAGAUGGGAUUAGCUAGUAGGUGGGGUAACGGCUCACCUAGGCGACGAUCCCUAGCUGGUCUGAGAGGAUGACCAGCCACACUGGAACUGAGACACGGUCCAGACUCCUACGGGAGGCAGCAGUGGGGAAUAUUGCACAAUGGGCGCAAGCCUGAUGCAGCCAUGCCGCGUGUAUGAAGAAGGCCUUCGGGUUGUAAAGUACUUUCAGCGGGGAGGAAGGGAGUAAAGUUAAUACCUUUGCUCAUUGACGUUACCCGCAGAAGAAGCACCGGCUAACUCCGUG